rnacentral:misc_RNA from 1 species
GAUGAAGAACGUAGCGAAAUGCGAUAAGUAAUGUGAAUUGCAGAAUUCAGUGAAUCAUCGAAUCUUUGAACGCACCUUGCGCUCCUUGGUAUUCCGAGGAGCAUGCCUGUUUGAGUGUCAUGAAAUUCUCAACCUUUCUGGCUUUUGCUAGUCAGGCUUGGAUUAUGGGAGCUGCUGGCUUUUACGAGUCGGCUCUUCUAAAAUGCAUUAGCAAGAUCAUUGCUGCUCAUCAUUGGUAUGAUAAUUAUCUAUAUCAUUGAGAGUCUGCAUCCUUUAUGGAAGGAUUUUGCUUCUAACCGUCUUUUCCUGAGACAACAUUUGACAAUUUUGACCUCAAAUCAGGUAGGAUUACCCGCUGAACUUAAGCAUAUCAAUAAGCGGAGGA